UGGGGAAUAUUGGACAAUGGGCGCAAGCCUGAUCCAGCCAUGCCGCGUGAGUGAUGAAGGCCCUAGGGUUGUAAAGCUCUUUCACCGGUGAAGAUAAUGACGGUAACCGGAGAAGAAGCCCCGGCUAACUUCGUGCCAGCAGCCGCGGUAAUACGAAGGGGGCUAGCGUUGUUCGGAUUUACUGGGCGUAAAGCGCACGUAGGCGGACUUUUAAGUCAGGGGUGAGAUCCCGGGGCUCAACCCCGGAACUGCCUUUGAUACUGGAAGUCUUGAGUAUGGUAGAGGUGGGUGGAAUUCCGAGUGUAGAGGUGAAAGUCGUGGAUAUUCGGAGGAACACCAGUGGCGAAGGCGGCUCACUGGACCAUUACUGACGCUGAGGUGCGAAAGCGUGGGGAGCAAACAGG
rnacentral:rRNA from 1 species